rnacentral:hammerhead_ribozyme from 1 species
ACCCAGUUGACGAGUCCUAAAUAGGACGAAACGUGCGUCGUGGAU